rnacentral:rRNA from 1 species
AGUCGUUCUGCCCAUUGUUUUUAAAAGGCUGCAGUAUUUUAACUGUACAAAGGUAGCAAAAUAAAUAGUUUUUUAAUUGAAAACUAGAAUGAAAGAGUUAAUAAAAUAUAGAUUGUCUCAAAUUUUUAAUUUAAAUUAAAAGUAAAAAUGCUUUUAUAAAUUUAUUAGACGAUAAGACCCUAAGAAUUUUAUAAUUUUAUUUAUUUAAAUAUAUUAUUAAUAAUAAAAUUAUUUUAUUGGGAGGAUAAUUAAAUAAAACUUUAAUUUUAAUAAAUAUAUUUAAAUAAAUUUAAUGAUUAAUUUUAUGAUUAUAAGAAUAAAUUACCUUAGGGAUAACAGCGUAAUAAUUUUGGAGAGUUCAUAUUGAUAAAAUUGUUUGCGACCUCGAUGUUGAAUUAAAAUUAAAUUUAAAUGAAGAUAUUUAAAUUUUUAGUCUGUUCGACUAUUAAAAUUUUAC